UUGUUUUCUAUUUUUCACUUUGAGAUCAGUAUAAUUACUUUACCGUUCAUUUUUUGAUUACAUUUUUGUUGAUGAUUUUCAGUUGAUUUUGGGCUUGCGAGAAAAGUGAAAAGAUUUCGGGCUUGUAAAGAACUGCAGGGAACGCCACACUACAUAGCGCCUGAAGUGUGGACAUGCAGCUCACAUAAUUUCAAGUGCGACAUAUGGGCUUUGGGAAUUACUGCCAUUGAGAUGGCCCAAGCAAGAUGUCCACUACUCCAUUUACAACGAGAAGCAGUUGGAGAACAAGUUGUUUUUGGAGAUCCUCCAAAUCUGAGUCGACCAUACAGAUGGUAAGCUAACCACAUCCCAUUUGACUUUAGUCAUAAUCUGAAGGGGUGAUCCUGACCCCAUUGCCACCCUGGGGAGGCUCCGCCCUGCCUUUCCCCAUUCACCUUUUUAGCACCAGAGGGGGUCCAGGAGGGUUCUCUUCCCUAGUGCAGAGAGUGCUCUAGCAGAGCCUAAUUUCCACUUUGAAAACCAGACAUUCUGCUCUUAAAGUUAUAAGGAGCAUCUUAUAUUAUCUCUAAAUCAACACGCUUUUAUUUUUUU